AAAGUGAAUUUCUAGUCAUUUGUGAUUCGUAAUUUUAAGUUGUGAUUAUAUCCCAUGAUUGCGGUCAGUUACAUGACCGAAUGCAAGGGGUCGAACAAUAAACAAAAUUGAAAUUUGGUAAACAAAGCAGUUUUCAUUUUUGGUUGGUCAAACAAGCCAUACAACUUCUAGUCAA